rnacentral:rRNA from 1 species
UACGUAGGGUGCAAGCGUUGUCCGGAAUUAUUGGGCGUAAAGAGCUCGUAGGCGGUCUGUCGCGUCUGCUGUGAAAACUCAGGGCUUAACCCUGAGCUUGCAGUGGGUACGGGCAGACUAGAGUGCGGUAGGGGAGACUGGAAUUCCUGGUGUAGCGGUGAAAUGCGCAGAUAUCAGGAGGAACACCGGUGGCGAAGGCGGGUCUCUGGGCCGUAACUGACGCUGAGGAGCUAAAGCAUGGGGAGCGAACAGG